rnacentral:lncRNA from 1 species
UUUCGUUUCAAGGAUCGGUUCUGAUUUCUGUAGGUGGAUGUGUGCUUGCAACCAAGGUUUGUUUUCUUGAUAUAUUUCAGUUUCAAUUGAUUUUGUUUGUUAGUUUAAUUUCUACCAUAGUUUAAGAUCAUUGCAAAUCAAACCCCCCCAAUUACAUAACGUAUAACAUAAAAAUCUGAACUAAACCUUCCUCGUGGGAUCGAC